UGGGUUUGAGUGCGUUGAAGCGCAUUAUUCUUCUAUUUAUUGGUUGGAGAGGGAUUAUGGGUAGUUUUAAGUAUUGUGUUAAAAAGAGCCGGAUAUAAUCAGAACGUAUAAUAAAAUUAUUCAAAAAAAAUUUUAUGUUGCCUUUUUUUUUUUUUUUUGUUCCUUUCUUUUUACUUUUGUUCCUUAAUAUCAUAUCAAAAAAAAUGUGAGAAUUAUGAUAUUUGAAAGUUAGCCAACAUAAAUUGAAAAGCUCAACAAAGG
rnacentral:lncRNA from 1 species